GUCUAACUUCUUCAGUUCUUUGUAUAUUUUGGAUAUAAGCCCUCUAUCAGUUGUAGGAUUGGUAAAGAUCUUUUCCCAAUCUGUUGGUUGCUGUUUUGUCCUAACGACAGUGUCUUUUGCCUUACAGAAGCUUUGCAGUUUUAUGAGAUCCCAUUUGCCUAGGGAACUCUUACAACCCUGCGAUGGAUUCAUAGAGCAAAGUCAGCGGUGUCCCUGAGAUACCGGCUCUCAACUCUCUAGCGUGCGUGCAUUUCGGCUGCUUCAGAGGAGCUUACCUGACUGUGGAACAACAGUGCUGUGUAAAAACUAAUGCUGACAUCACUGCAUCACUGCAAGGCAGGUUCCAUUUGCUGAAAUGCUCAGGACAGAAAUACUUCAGAUUUUAGAUUUAUUUCUUAAAGGGUUUUUUGCUUUUAAAUAAUAUGUCUUGGGAUUAAAGCAAAAACUAAUAGAAAUUCAUAUCUGUUUUAGACAACAGACACCCAGUUUGUAGAUCAUUUUAUACAAUAUACAAAUGCUUUAGGGUGCAUACAUUUAGAAUUACUUUUAUUUUUUAGGGUGUGUGUGUGUGUGUGUGUGUGUAUACGUGCGCGUGUGCGCUCGAGUAGUGCCUACAGAGGACAGACAAGGGAGCCUAGUGCCCUGGGGCUGCAGUUCUAAGCACUGUGAGCAGCUGGGUAGCAGUGCUGGGGACCAACCACAGGCACAGAGGUUAAGAGCAACUAAUCAAGGUUGGGCCCUAGAAUUCUCUCCUUAUGCCCGACACACAACUGCUCUGACUCUUCCUGCAGAGACAAACAAACACGUACCUCAAACAGGGCACUGCUAAACCAAAGGAUCGCAAAUUUAGUCUGGCUCAGUGAACUAACAAUCCCCAUCAGGUUCAUGGGCACACUCUUACUAAAAAGUUCCUUCUUCCACCUGAAGAACAUCACAUACUAGCUCACAUUUCUGAAAGCUACUGUAACCUGGGCAUUUGUGCAGUUUGAACAAAGAAGUCUUUCUCUCUUAGCACAGGCUGACCUAACUUGAAGUCAUACCUAAUCUAGUCACUGAUGCCUGCCAUAAACCAUUUAAGAUACUUACUUCUUAAACGUUCUAAAGAUGGGGAGAACUGUGAACCCCCUUUUAUUCUUAAUUUUCCAUUCAUACAUGCUCUUAAAAUUUUAAGUCUUGAGGACUCUGGUAGAUAUUUCUAGAAUUACCUGCCCAGUUUCCACUGUAACCAUUAAUAAGCCAACCUAUUUUUAUUUAAGUAAAACUUCCUUAAAAGUUUGAGAAGAUAGCUCGGUUGGUAAAGCCCAAGGACCUAUGAUCAGAUCCUCAGGUACAAAGCUGGGCCCAGAAGCAUGUGCUCAUAACCCCAGAGCUCAGGAGACUGGGGGUAUGUGGCGUGAACAAGGGGAUCCCUGAAGUUUGCUGGCCAACUAAUCUAGGCAGUCAACGAGCUCUAAGUUCAGUGGGAGACCAUGUCUCAAAAAGUAAAAUGAGGAAGACACUAGAUGUUGACCUGGCCUUCACACACAUGCACCCACACACCUACAUACAUUCCCCCAAUUAUCUUUUUGAACCUUUGUUAGUUUACUUAAAUAUUACUUUCAAGUACACAGAACAUGCUUUUAAGAUAUGAUCCUAUCUCAGAGAAAUAUUUACACACUAUAUAAGAACCCAAACUGUGUUGGCUCACUAGUUCUCAGUAUUGUAAUACCACCAACCCACCUCAGAGGACUCUGUGUGUAAGAGAAUUUAUUAAUUUUUCUCAAAGGACAAUGCUCUAGCACUACUCCUAGGCAAUCAUAGCAUUUACUGCCUUCCGAAGUAGCCAUAAACCCUUUGAGCAAGAGCCACAAACUGAUGGUAGAAGGGUUUUCCUCAGGACCUGAAGAGCUCUCUCCGGCAGUUAUUCAGGAUGAAGCCUUCUGAGCAUUCUAUGCAGUCCAAUUCCUUUGCUGUUAGAGCAGCAUCUCAAGACCGUGAGCAGACGCAGUAAUCUUACCUAUAUUCAACCAUGUGUAGGUCACAGGGCAAUUUACAGGAAGCUGGUUUUCCCCACCUCUUCUAACUGCUUAAUUCUAAUAUUUACUACUAUUUACUAGGAUGAGAUUACGUCAGGGCAAUGUAUCCUAUACAAGACCAAGCUAAGCUGUCAUCAUAUUCUUCCCUUCUGCUGUAUGUUCUGACUUACUACCAAAAUCCUAUCUCGUGACUCUUUUGAAGACCGCAACAACAUUCCAGUGUACAACAUGCAUACUGGAAAAGAGCUGGUUAUUCAGCAGAAUGUGUGCUAAAAUGUCAACAGUGACUAUGUUCUAUUCAGAAGAUCUGGACGUUUAGAUGGAAGCAUGCUAAAACGUCAUCAGUGGUAGCAGGGAUUACCUUCUCAGCGCCUCUGUAUACUUCUCUACCUUUGCUAUGCUCCCCAUGUAUAAAGACCUCAAUGAUGACGGCAAGCAGCCUCGGUUGAGCACUAUGUGCUCAGGGCUUUGCAUAUGCCAGCCUACUUAGCAGAACCAUGAAAGAUUCCUGUCUAUAUCCAUUUAUUUGCGUGCGUGCGUGUGCCUGUGCAAGGAUAUUAGAUGUCUUCCUCUAUCAUUCUCUGCUUCCCUUCAUGACAUGGGGUCUCUUACUGAAUGUAGAGUUCAUCUUUGCAGCUAGUCUGACAAGACACCUUGCUCUAAGGAUCCCUGGUGUUCAUCUCCUGUGUGCUGAGAAUCAUAAGCAACGACCACACCCACCUGAUUUAAUGUAGGUUCUAGAAAUCUGGGCCCUCAGUGCAGCAAGCUCUUUACCUACUAAAUCCCAUCUUCCUACCACUGGUGAAUAUAACACUGCCUCCCUCUGCUGUUUGAAAAAGGAAAUGAUCAAAGAUUUCACCAUUUAGUUCCCUAAAGAAACAUAAUUAUGAAAAAAGCUCAAUUUCUUUUUGUAAAACACAGCAGUUUACGGUUACAUAUACAAAAUAUAUUGACCCCAGGGUCAGAGCACAGCUUCUUCUAUCUGUAAGUCUCUCAGCCCUGUAUCCAGCUGUGCAACUGAAUCCAGGACCCACAAAGGCUUUGGCAACAAUAACGCACAACCACAAGAUACAAUAAUGCACAACCACAAGCUAAUUCAGAACCAAGAGUGUAAGGAGCCCAUAGCAUCUGGGCAGCCCUAGCCACACAACAUGCAUUCUAUGCCCUGCACAUGCUCUCACAGCAUGCUAACACGCUAUAAGAGUACCGCCUGAAACCCCUGCACACACAUUUUCAUUAGCAAAGUCUCUGGACAUUACUAUACUCCUGUCACACCGCAACAGAGAAAUAUCAAACUAUGCUAUCCUGGGACUUUAUUAAGUUGCUGCUUGAGUUGCCAAAAUGAAUUUCAUAAAAAUAAAUAAGUCAUUCAGUGAGUUCUGGCUUGGGAUUAGGACAGAAUCCCAACACUUUCUGAAGUAGCCCUAAAAAUACUGGUCAUUUUGUACUGUGUGCUUAUGUGAAGCAGCGUUCUAUGUGAUGGCUACAAAAACAAAGGUCAACAGCUCUUAAAAAACCCAAGACGCUCUAGCACCAAGGAACCACCAUGUUUAAUUCAUGCAAAUCCCAAUGACACCUACCUUAACUUUGGUUUUUAGUAAAUGGCAAGGCUCUACAUAGAACCAAAACACUGUUUAAAAUAAAAUUCUUUAAAACUUAUUAUCGGUGAACUCUUGAGUUAUAUAUCUAUAUAUGCCAAGAGCCACAUAAAAUUUUCUCAAGCAAAAUGGUUUUAAAAGCCCUGCUUUAGAACCUUAGAAUCUUAAGUUCCAUUCAGAAGAAAGAAAAACUUAAGCAUUACUCUUGGCUGGAUGUCAGAAUUCAAAUAUGUAUCCUGGGUCAGCACUAACAACUAACAGAGAUCACCGGCCUGAGGGUUGGGACAGUGUGUGCCCCAUGCACAGUGACCAAUUAUUUACUAUGGGGUACACUUGCGGAAACCAUUUAAACACGUGAGACUUUUCUUCCUCCAGCCUUUAAUCCCAGGAAUUGGAGUCAGAGAGAGGCCAAUCUCUGUGAGUUUGAGACCAGCCUGGUCUAUGGAGGGAGUUCUAGGACAGCCAGGUCUACAGAGAAACCCCAUCUCAAAAAAACAAUAAUAAAAACAAACUAAAACCAAAACAUUUACUCUAUCAACUCCCAUUCAGAUUCUUCCACAAGAAUCACUGAGCACCAUGUAUAUAGGGGGGAGAACUACCAAAUUUAGCAAAUAAAUUAGUGAGUAUAUUUAUGCUAAAAAAUUAUUCAGUCACCGGGUGUGGUGACACAUGCCUUUAAUCCCAGCACUCAGGAAGCAGUGGAUCUCUGUGAGUUAGAGGCCAGCCUGGUCUACAGAGUGCGUCCAGGACAGCCAGGGCUUGCUACACAAGGGAAACCCCGUCUUAAAAACCCUAAAAUAAAAGUCAUUCAUCAUCUCUUUACAGAAAUCAAUUCUUUUUUUUUUUUUUUUUUUUUUUUUAGUUCUUUUUUUCGGAGCUGGGGACCAAACCCAGGGCCUUGCACUUCCUAGGCAAGCGCUCUACCACUGAGCUAAAUCCCCAGCCCCCAGAAUUCUUAUUAAAUUACUUCAAAUGGAUUUGCAGCAGGAAGGGCUGGGAAAACACCUAAGUGGUAAGCUUGCACAAGGGCCCAAGUUGAAUACCUAGCAACAGGAGGCAAGAUGGGAAAGUGGGUGGGGGGUUCAGGGACAGACUAUAACAAAGGACAGUAUCUGAAUUUUGGUAUUCAAAAGGCCAAGGUAGGAGAAUAUAGAGUUUGAGGUUGGCCUCUGACUUAAAGUGAAAGAGCUAAAAACUCUUAACAAAAAAUACACCAUUUCCUCACCUGCCUCUCAUAUAACUCCCCAGCCUGGGGACUGACUGCUCAAAAUUCUAUUAUUAAAUAAAUUUAACCCUAUGUAGAUAGAGCAGCAACUGAAUAUGGUAAUCCCUUCAGGAGGUUGGAAUAUGCUUGGCCCAGUGAGGGGCACUAUUAGGAAGUGUGGCCUUGUUGGAGGAAGUGUGUCACUAUAGGGUUGGGCUUGAGAGACCUUCCUCCUAGGUGCCUGGUAAUAGUCUUCUGUUUGCCUUUGGAACAAGAUGUAGAACCCUCAGCUCCUCAGGCUGGCAUACAUGCUGCUUGCUCCCCCACCUUGAUGACAAUGGACUAAACCUCAGAACCUAUAAGCCAGCCCCAAUUAAAUGUUGUCCCUUAUAAGAGUUGCUUUGGUCAUGGUAUCUCUUUAUAGCAAUGGAAACCCACCAGAGACUGGGUUAUUGCUGUGAUAGACCUGACCAUGUUUUUGUUUAGAAGAAUGUGGAUUUUGGGACCUUGGACUUGGAAAGCCAUGGAAUGUUUUUAGUGGGGCUUGAUGGGCCAUCCUAGUAGGAAUAUGGAAGAUUGUGCUGCUGAGGGUGAUUUGAACUGCAUAGGUCUGCUGGCUCAAGGGUUUCAGAAGAGAAGAAUUUUAGUGUGUAGCCUAGACUGCUCUUGUGAUAUUUUGGUGAAGAAUGUGGCUGCUUUCUGCCAAUGUUUCAAGAGUAUGCCUGAGGCUUAGGUGAAGAGAUUUAGAUUAAUUGUUUUGACAAAGGGAAUCUCAAAAACAGUCUGGUAUAGAUUCUGUUGUGUGGUUACUAAAGUUCACUCUUAUGAAGAGCCUUGAUGAAUAGGGGCGAGCUUUAAAAGGAAAACUACAAAACAUAUGGUUAAAAGGAGUGUUGUGGGGGUUGGGGAUUUAGCUCAGUGGUAGAGCGCUUGCCCAGCAAGCACAAGGCCCUGGGUUUGGUCCCCAGCUCCGAAAAAAAGAAAAAAAAAAAAAAAAAAAAAAAGGAGUGUCGUGGACUUGGUCUAAUGCCACUAGCAUUAUGUUAAUUUGGUCCCCAAAAUUGCAUGUCUGCACAUGGAACCCUGUCCCCAGUUGUUUUAAUUGGUAAAUACAGUUACAGGUGGCUAACAACUGGGUAGGGAGACAGAGGUGGGACUUUUAGGAUUCCCAGGCAAGAAACUCAGGAAGGAAAGGGACAGCAGCGGCCAUUAUGGGGAAGGAGAGGAGACAUCACACCUGAGAGGUUCAGAGGAUAGAGAGACAGCUGGGGAAGAGUAGGCCCCAAGGGGCAUCCCUUUAGACUGGGUCUAAAGAAACAUAGAUGAAAUAUAGAUUUUAGUAAGUAAUAACUCAGAAAUAUCGGAGGGUGUGUGUGUGUGUCAGCCACUUGGAGGUUUAGAAGUGGCCCAGCCAUUGAGCUGUUAAAGGCAUAUUAAAAUAUAAGGCCACGCAUGCGCACACACACGCAUGCAUACAUACAUGCCUUUCAUUAGAAAAUCCAGAAUAUUGGGGCAGGUAGCAAUGAGUGCCACCACCACCCAGGUAGAUUUGAUUUAAGUAGGAUUAAUUGGGUAUUACUAUGAAGGGGCACCAAAAAGUAGAAUGGAGCUGUCCUAUGUUCAAGAAGAUCAACAGAUUAAAAGAGUAGUGACUUUGGAGCAAGAUCCCACCCAAGCUGAGGCUUGGCACUGUGAGAGACAGGGAAGGCUACUGGUGAAGGUGCAGCCUCAGUUGCAGUUGAUGGCCCAGGCCAGAAGGGGUCAUGCAAAGGUGAGGCUUGUUACCAUGAAGGGAGCCUAUGAGGGGCUAUUGGUGAAGCCUGGGUGCAGAAGACCUGAGUGUACCGCGGGAUGACCACCAAGAACAGCAGCAGCAUGGAGUGGAGUCAAUGAGAGCCUAGAGUGCUGCAGAGGGCAGAGCUGGAGAUGGGACCCAAGCCCUUUGCAGGAGCCCAGAAGAUGGAGUGUGGAUUUCAAAAGUUGGUACAAGAAGCUGUAACGCUGAAGUUGCCUUGAAGACCCCAAGAUGUUAAAGAUGCCAGAGCCAUGGGCUACCUGCUGAGGAAAACUGCUCACAGGGCGUGGAAACAAGGAUGAAGAGUGGAGAUCUGAGGACCGCUUUGGCAUCGGACAUGAAGAUGCAGAGUUUACAGUUUGCCCAGUAGUUCCCUAUCUUGCUUUGGUCCAGUAUUUCCUCACUAUGAUAUUUUCAAAUGGUAACACAUAGCCUGUGACGUUAGAGAUAUGCGAUCUGCUUUUUGCUGAUUGCUUUUGAUUUUAUAAGGGAUUACAGUUCAGUGUUUGGAUGAAUCUCAGAAGAGACCUUGAACUUUCAACAUUAUUGAGACUGCUAUAGACUAUGAGAACUUUUGAAGUUGGACUAAAUGUAUUUUGCAUCAUACUAUGGCUCAUGUGUUUGAACAAGCCUAUGGGGGCCGGGGAGUGGAAAUGUGGUGGUCUGAAAAUGCUUGGCCCAGGGAGUGGUACUAUUAGGAGGUGUGGCCUUGGAGGAAGUGUGUCACUGUAGCUUUGUAGUGUGUGGCUUUGAGAGACCCUCCUCCUAGCUGCCUGUUUGCCUUUGGAACAAGAUGUAGAACCCUCAGCACCUCCUGCACCAUACCAUGCCUGCCUGGGAGUGGCCAUACUCCUGCCUGGAUAAUAAUGAAGUGGACCUCAGGACCAGUAAGCCUGCCCAAUUAACUGUUGUCCUUUAUAAGAGCUGCCUUGGUCAUGGUCUGUUCACAGCAAUGGAAGCCUAACUUCUCAGACAUCCGUCUUCUCACUCUCCAUCAUCCCACAGAGCGCUGUCAGCCAGGUAGCUGCCUCCUAAGUGACCAGUUUUGUUCCUGACAAGCCAUACCUUUCUUAAAGGGCAAUUUUAAGUCAAUGAAAACUCUACUCCAACAGAGGAAGGUCAUCAUCCUAAUUCCAGGAACAGAGAAGACUACACUGUAAAAUGUCCACCUACACAAUUCCUCUUUCAUUAACUCAUUUAUAAUAUGCUUGUAUUUAUGAUAAACCAGUUCAGUUAUACAAUUACAUAGUUUUACAUAAAGAUCAAGAUAACCUAUAUCUUUCAUUUUGGGUUACACAAGUCACACGCUGUAUUUGCACUGUAUUUUCUUUUUCUUUUCUUUUUUUUGAGGGACGGUCUCACUCUAACCCAUGCUGACCUGAAACUCACGCUGUAGCCCAGGCUUGCCUCAAACUCACAAUAAUUCUCACGCCAGCCUUCUGGGUGCUGGGAUCCAGGAAUGAGUCACUAUAUCUGACAGUCUUGAUUUUUAAUCUUCUUAUAUUCUCUACUAAGUUGUACUACUUCCUUUUCUUUUGCAAUGACAUUUAAAACUCUAAAAACUAAUUCCAUUGUAUAGUCUUACUUUUGAAAUAUAUAGGGGGGUUGGGGAUUUAGCUCAGUGGUAGAGCACUUGCUUAGCAAGUGCAAGGCCCUGGAUUCGGUCCUCAGCUCCAAAAAAAGAAAUAUAUAGGAAACUAAAUUAUAUAAUCAACUAUAAUUCAAAUAUAUCCAGCAUUUCCUCUUAUAAAAUACUCCAGAGCUGGGCAGCAGUGGUGCGUGAGUUUAAUCCCAGCACUUGGAAUGCAGAGGCAGGCAGAUCUCUGAGCUCAAGGCCACCCUGGUCUACACAAGGAGUUCCAGAACAGCAAAGGGAACACAGAGAAAUCCUGUCUCAAACAAACAAAAUAGCCUAAAUUCAGUUUCACUAAUAAAAAACAAAAUGCAGAUUUUUUUCCCUUACAGUCCUUAUAAAUUAUGUAAGACAGAGCAUUUGUAUACCAAAACAGACCACACUAACAAUUCCUGAGUAUCAGAUCUCAUGAAGAGGCUGGUUAGAACUGGAGAGACGGACAGCUCAGUGGAAAAAGUAUCAGGCAGCUCACAACCACUAUUUUUUUUUUUUUUUUAAGAUUUAUUUAUUUUAUAUGUGGGUACUCUAUUGCUGUCUUUAGACACACCAGAAGAGGGCAUCGGAUCC